rnacentral:rRNA from 1 species
AUUGAACGCUGGCGGCAUGCUUUACACAUGCAAGUCGAACGGUAACAGGGUGCUUGCACCGCUGACGAGUGGCGAACGGGUGAGUAAUGCAUCGGAACGUACCCAGUCGUGGGGGAUAACGUAGCGAAAGUUACGCUAAUACCGCAUACGUCCUGAGGGAGAAAGCGGGGGACCGUAAGGCCUCGCGCGAUUGGAGCGGCCGAUGUCGGAUUAGCUAGUUGGUAGGGUAAAGGCCUACCAAGGCGACGAUCCGUAGCGGGUCUGAGAGGAUGAUCCGCCACACUGGGACUGAGACACGGCCCAGACUCCUACGGGAGGCAGCAGUGGGGAAUUUUGGACAAUGGGCGAAAGCCUGAUCCAGCCAUGCCGCGUGAGUGAAGAAGGCCUUCGGGUUGUAAAGCUCUUUCAGCCGGAAAGAAAUCGCGCAGGAUAAUACUCUGCGUGGAUGACGGUACCGGAAGAAGAAGCACCGGCUAACUACGUGCCAGCCGCCGCAGUAAUAC